GAUCCCAAAAUAUUCUCGCGAGAGGCGCUCUGAGGGUCCUGAGGAGGGUUUGGGAUCGCGGCCGCGGAGGUGAAGAGACGAGGGAGCAGAGGAGCGCGCGUCCCGGGCCGCUUUCCCUUCGUUCUACAUGUGGCGGUCCUUCUUCUAGGUCUUCCUGUUCCCGCAGCUCGGGAGGCUCAAGCUCCUGUGGCAACGCGUCCGAAAGAAACUGGACCUCUUACCGUUGGUCCUCGAGUUCUCGCUGGAGUUCCUGGACAUGUAGUUGUGACGUUAGGUCUACCUACAACAACCGUUGUCCUUCCGGCACCACUAGGUACACGGCAUGGCAGACGCGUUCGGGAAGUCCUUCUAGGUACAGUCCGAGCAGUCCCUCGACCUCUUCUUCAAAUCGCCGUUCCUACAACAGAAACAACGUUGUUCUUCCUAACACUCCGGUGGGUUCUUCCCAAGACGACAAGUCGCGGGAGCGUGGUCCUGGGACUGUCGACAAGUACUACCAUAGAACCUCCUACAGCACAUGGGUCGACUCUAACACCCCUUCGCACAGUCUAUGGCAAACCUACCACGGUUCCAGUAGUUCUAGAUGAACCUGGGUUUCCUCGCGUUGUUGUGACUUAUGUUCGACCUCUGGAAGAGACGUCAGAUGGCGUCCGAAACACCCUUUCUGCAACAGAAACUCAUGGGACACUGACUUUGGCGGACUUCUAGGUACGGAAUACAGAGGUAAAAGUAUAGAAAGACUAGGCUUACAAAACCAGCUCCAGAGUCAAUCAACACGAUAGUUACAUAAGGUCUUUGUAUCAAAACAAUUGCUAGACCCCAAUCCUUCAAACUACCUCUAACCGUUACUUGCACUUGUUACAAUUUCAAAACUCGUAAAUUUAAUACUUGGAGACGAGCCAAUAGAAC
rnacentral:rRNA from 1 species